rnacentral:rRNA from 1 species
GAACGGGUGAGUAACACGUGGGUGAUCUGCCUUGCACUCUGGGAUAAGCUUGGGAAACUGGGUCUAAUACCGGAUAGGAACCGUCUUUAGUGUGGUGGUUGGAAAGUUUUUUCGGUGCAAGAUGAGCUCGCGGCCUAUCAGCUUGUUGGUGGGGUAAUGGCCUACCAAGGCGUCGACGGGUAGCCGGCCUCGAGAGGGUGUACGGCCACAUUGGGACUGAGAUACGGCCCAG